rnacentral:rRNA from 1 species
UACGAAGGGGGCUAGCGUUGUUCGGAAUCACUGGGCGUAAAGCGCACGUAGGCGGAUCUUUAAGUCAGGGGUGAAAUCCCGAGGCUCAACCUCGGAACUGCCUUUGAUACUGGGGAUCUCGAGUCCGGGAGAGGUGAGUGGAACUGCGAGUGUAGAGGUGAAAUUCGUAGAUAUUCGGAAGAACACCAGUGGCGAAGGCGGCUCACUGGCCCGGUACUGACGCUGAGGUGCGAAAGCGUGGGGAGCAAACAGG